GGAGGAUGCGAGCGUUAUCCGGAUUUAUUGGGUUUAAAGCGAGCGCAGACGGGUCGUUAAGUCAGCUGUGAAAGUUUGGGGCUCAACCUUAAAAUAGCAGCUGAUACUGGCGUCCUUGAGUGCGGCUGAGGUGUGCGGAAUUCGUGCUGUAGCGGUGAAAUGCUUAGAUAUCACGAAGAACUCCGACUGCGAAGGCAGCACACUAAGCCGUAACUGACGUUCAUGCUCGAAAGUGUGGGUAUCAAACAGGAUUAGAUACCCUGGUAGUCCACACGGUAAACGAUGGAUACUCGCUGUUGGCGAUAUACAGUCAGCGGCUUAGCGAAAGCGCUAAGUAUCCCACCUGGGGAGUACGCCGGCAACGGUGAAACUCAAAGGAAUUGACGGGGGCCCGCACAAGCGGAGGAACAUGUGGUUUAAUUCGAUGAUACGCGAGGCACCUCACCCGGCCUUAAACUGCAAAGGAAUGAUCUGGAAACAGGUCAGUCUUCGGACCUUUGUGAAGGUGCUGCAUGGUUGUCGUCAGCUCGUGCCGUGAGGUGUCGGCUUAAGUGCCAUAACGAGCGCAUCCCUCGCCGCCAGCUACUAACAGGUAAUGCUGAGGACUCCGGCGGGACUGCCAUCGUAAGAUGUGAGGAAGGUGGGGAUGACGUCAAAUCAGCACGGCCCUUACGUCCGGGGCUACACACGUGUUACAAUGGGGGGUACAGAAGGCAGCUACCACGCGACAGGAUGCCAAUCCCGAAAGCCGCUCUCAGUUCGGACCGGAGUCUGCAACCCGACUCCCCGAAGCAGGAUUUGCUAGUAAUCGCGCAUCAGCCACGGCGCGGUGAAUACGUUCCCGGCCCUUGUACACACCGCCCGUCAAGCCAUGGGAGCCGGGGGUACCAGAAGUGCGUAACCGCGAG
rnacentral:rRNA from 1 species